rnacentral:rRNA from 1 species
AUUGAACGCUGGCGGCAGGCCUAACACAUGCAAGUCGAGCGGAUGAAGGGAGCUUGCUCCUGGAUUCAGCGGAGGACGGGUGAGUAAUGCCUAGGAAUCUGCCUGGUAGUGGGGGAUAACGUCCGGAAACGGGCGCUAAUACCGCAUACGUCCUGAGGGAGAAAGUGGGGGAUCUUCGGACCUCACGCUAUCAGAUGAGCCUAGGUCGGAUUAGCUAGUUGGUGGGGUAAAGGCCUACCAAGGCGACGAUCCGUAACUGGUCUGAGAGGAUGAUCAGUCACGCUGGAACUGAAAGACGGUCCGGACUCCUGCGAGAGGCAGCAGUGGGGGAGUUUUGCCGAAGGGAGAAAGCCUGAUCCAGCCAUGCCGCGUGUGUGAAGAAGGUCUUCGGAUUGUAAAGCACAUUAAGUUGGGAGGAAGGGCAGUAAGUUAAUACCUUGCUGUUAUGACGUUACCAGCAGAAUAAGCACCGGCUAACUUCGUG